UUCUAACCUGGUACCGUAAUCCGGUGCGGGGACAGUGUCAGGUGGGCAGUUUGACUGGGGCGGUCGCCUCCUAAAGAGUAACGGAGGCGCCCAAAGGUUCCCUCAGAAUGGUUGGAAAUCAUUCGAAGAGUGCAAAGGCAUAAGGGAGCUUGACUGCGAGACCUACAAGUCGAGCAGGGACGAAAGUCGGGCUUAGUGAUCCGGUGGUACCGCAUGGAAGGGCCAUCGCUCAACGGAUAAAAGCUACCCUGGGGAUAACAGGCUUAUCUCCCCCAAGAGUCCACAUCGACGGGGAGGUUUGGCACCUCGAUGUCGGCUCAUCGCAUCCUGGGGCUGAAGUAGGUCCCAAGGGUUGGGCUGUUCGCCCAUUAAAGCGGUACGCGAGCUGGGUUCAGAACGUCGUGAGACAGUUCGGUCCCUAUCUGUCGUGGGCGUAGGAAAUUUGAGAGGAGCUGUCCUUAGUACGAGAGGACCGGGAUGGACGUACCGCUGGUGUACCAGUUGUUCCGCCAGGAGCACCGCUGGGUAGCUAUGUACGGACGGGAUAAACGCUGAAAGCAUCUAAGCGUGAAGCCCCCCUCAAGAUGAGAUUUCCCAGUAUGUAAGACCCCUUGAAGACGACGAGGUAGAUAGGCUGGGGGUGGAAGUGCAGCAAUGCAUGGAGCUGACCAGUACUAAUCGGUCGAGGGCUUAUCCAAUUAGCAAGU
rnacentral:rRNA from 1 species